rnacentral:lncRNA from 1 species
AUGGCGUCGCAUGGACUCUCUCGGCGGCUCUGGAUUAUCCCCGCUCCAACGCCGUGGCUGGAUGAUCGCCAUGGCGAUCAAAUGCAAACAGGUACGGCACUUCGCAUAUGGGGGAUCAUUACAGUCACAAAUCUUACUCCGCCGCCUCAUCAUGUUUCAGAUGCACGAAACAAAGAGCGAAGAAAGUUGCAAAAUGCCCGCACGUCAACGAGGAUUUUUUGGCAUCAACCUCCUUUUCCUGUUUUUGUAGGGGCAGGCAGAAAAAUUGAAGAGCCGUGCUAAAAAGUUGUUGGUAUAUAAUGCUCUUAGUUGAGUCCUGAAUACAGGUGCUAGAUUUCGAAAAACAACUUUUAAA